AGGUGUUUUAUGUAGGGGGGCAAAAAGCUAAAUCAUGCUCUCCAUAACUCCCUAUGGCUUUGCUCCAUGUGCCUUUGCUCCAUGACAUAUGGCUUUAUUAUGAGAGUCACCUUCAGCUUGGGAAGUGUCUUUUCGCUGCCUGGGACACGUUUGACUCCCUCCUGCCAUCUGUAUCUGUGACAGUUUGAAAUUGUGUUUGUCUGGAGUGUGUUCAUGGUUUGAUAGGGAAAAAACUCAGAGCUGAGGAUGGCUAAGAUGUUUUUUUAGUAAAGGCUAAAGUGAAUGUUCAUACAGGAGAGACCAGUGAUUGCUUUCUAGAGCAAGUGUUACAGUGGUUUCCUCAGGAUAUUUUUGUUCCACAAAAAUAAGAAUAUUCAAAGUUGCAUGACUUGUAGUACACCUGAUUUCAGUAAAGACUAAUUUAAUAUACCGUGUCUUUCAUAAGCAGUUUUGAUUGAUGUCUCUUUGUUCUCUUAUUUAAUCCAAAUGCAAAAAGGCAUUAACUUGUGCUAAUUAAUUUAUUUGUGUUAAUUAGCAUCUAUUGACUCAUCCUUCUGUAUUGCACUGAAAUUUGGGGUGUGCUGGGAAUCAGGUGUGGUUUAGCAUGCCAACAAAAUAAAAGUAUUUGGGGGCUGUAGGUUAGUUAUAUGACUACCAUAAAUACAAGCAUUUUAAAAGUAGAAAGCACUGACUUUGGGCUGCUGGUUAGAGGAAAGCCCUUGUUUUUCAGACUGUGAUAUGGCUUUGUUUGUAGUGCUGGCUUUUUACAACCAAUUAUACUCGUAUACAGAAUUAUAGUUUACAGAAAUAUCACUGCAUUUGAAAAAAGCAAUUUCCAUUGUUCCAGAAAUGAUGGAUGGUAUAAGCCACUGAAUGUGGGGAAGUUGAUGACAAAGUGUCACAUAUAAGGACUGGAGGAAAACCAGCUCUACCUAGACUGGGGUGUCAACAAAAACCAUGAGAUGGAUGUGGCUUUUGGUUUCCCUUGAGGAACUGCCAGCAGGGCGGGAACCUCUACUUGACUGAGAAGAUCAGUAGAAGGAGCACAAAAACGCAGUUUGGAUGUCCUGCAUAGGGAAACAUUUUUGUUGUGGCUGCUCCCGGUUAGAGGAGCUUUCCCAAAUGUGCAAUACCUGGGAAGAACAUUUGAGCUUGGCCAAGACAAAAUGCUCAAGGUCUUCUGGCAUGGGAAACACCACCAGAAAAAGACAAAUGGUGAUGAGGAUGGCAGUCUUGAGAAGAACAGAAAAUGCUCAAAUGAAGAUCUCUGGGGACCUGUGCUUUCACUGCUAUGCAGACAUUGACACUGGCACAGUUCCGCAAAAUAUCUAAGGUUUGUGGUAAGCAGAGCAGACUUAUUUCACUGGUGUAGAGAACAAGAGGUGUGCCCACUGCUAAUGCAAGAAUUUGCUGAAGAGUUGCAGAUAGUUUUUCCUCUGUAAACUCUUCACUCAACCUGUCAACCCUUUCCCGAACGUUUCCUUUGGCAAUGCAUUUAAAAACUGCUUGGAUCCCAAGAGCUUCAAACGUAGAGGAUGUAAACCAUGGUCCAGAAGUCUGAAACAGAACAAGAUGCUGCAUUAUCCAAUGACCUGGAAUAAAAGCAAAAGGGGCUCAGAAGAGCUUGCAGGGGUCAGGCAGUCUGUGACCUGCCUUGCAACAAGCUCAGAUCUACCCAGGACAUAACUGACAAAUGCUGGUCUGCCUUGUUCUUAAAAAAAUCUCCUGUGGAGAGAUUCUGCUACCUCGUGAAGCAUACUGUUCUGGUAACUACUUGUCCACAGCUGCCUGUUGAUUUGUAACAGCCCUGAGAAGAUGGACAAGUCUCAACAUAGAAUCCCCUACUUGGUUAUUCUACUGCUGUUAAAAAAAAAUGUUUUUGGUCUGUACCAGAAUAUUCAUUUUUGAAGGUUAUAACAUGGAGAACACUGGAGCUCUUCACAUUUCAAGUAUAUUCUCCAACUUUGGAAGCAAAAUGAGAAUGGUCCCCCAGUGAUCCUGAGCUCAAAAACAAGGCAAACCUAUGGAAACUGAAAUUUCAGCAAACACCAGCCAAGUUCAGACUUCUAGGCUUGUUAGGCAUCUGGCUACACAUCAAGGAGUCUGUCAGCCCUAUGAAAUGCAUUUCUAAGCACUACUAUGGGCAGCGUGGGCAGGGAGGUGGAAGGGGAGACAAAUUUCCCUUGAAAGGUUAAAUUAAACCCAUGUGUCCCUGAUAAAUAUGCAAAUUACUGAAUUGGCACAUUCCUAUAGGAAAAGAGAGAGUCCAGUCAAUGAUUGCUAACCAUCCUUUCAGAACCUUCCCUCCUUCCACAACGUUAUUAUCAAAUAUGCUAAUCCUUUCCCUUCAGAUAGUUGUAACAAUAUUUUUCCAUGGAUUCUGUGGGUCAUGGUACAGAUGCAAGGUUCUUUAAGGUCAUUCUACAAGAUCUUUUUUUUUUGUGUGCUUUCUUGUAUCAGGCUUCUGCAUGGACAGACUCCAACUUUAGUCUGAAAGUUUUCCAGACAAGAGCCUUUUUGCACGUGGGUUUUGUGAAAGUGAUCUAAUAUAUGGAUGAAAAAUACUGAACUUUGUAUAUGUCUGCAGUUUUGUGUCAGUGUAUGCCUUACAGCCUGCAAUAUAAUCAGCUUUCAUUAUGAUUAAUACUGAGCUGGUAAGGAAACAAACUGCCUGCAUACAGACAUUUCAGGGGAAUAUCUCUCUGAGUGGGUUCAGCUCUUGGGUUCACUUUCCAAAAACUGCAAAGAUGUAGUUAGGCCUUUUCAGUUUGUCUGUUUAUCAGCAGGAACACCAAUAUUUACCAUUCAGCACAUUGUUUGAUCCUUCCAUUAAUGUCUUCCCACCUCCUGACAAUGCCUUUGCAAAAGUUAAAAAGAGACCUCAGCUACAGCAAGAGCUUUUGCCUGUGGAAAUAAACACUGCUGCUUCUCAGCUGCAAACAGUGC